UUCAUCAGCUAAUGGGCUAAUCACAUGCUGAACUAAAACUGCAUAAGUGGUGAAAUGCUUGAUAGAAGCACUCAGCGUUAUUAAGUGUGAUGAAAAUCUGCAAAGCAUAAAAAGUGAAAAAAUUUAGCACUAAACUGUUAGAGAUAACGCCUCUGGCAGUUUUUU
rnacentral:sRNA from 12 species